UGAAAAGCUUUUUAGAAGGUGCCACCUGC
rnacentral:piRNA from 1 species